AAGAACAGUUCAGCCUACAGUGGGUGUACAAUAUACUGGAACACAAAGUCGAAGUGGACCGAAUAGUUGUUGAAGAUGAAGACCCAAACUUAGGUUUUGUUUUGUUGCCAGACCUGAAAUGGGAUGGAAAGCAGAUUGAUACUCUCUAUUUUGUUAGCAAUAGUUCGUCCCCGAGGAAUACGAAGCAUUCGAGAUCUGACUGCAGAACACCUUCCUCUCUUGUACAACGUCAGAGACAAAGUUAUAAAAUCAAUAGAGGAGAAAUACAGCAUUCCUCAGUCCUCAGUCUGA